rnacentral:rRNA from 1 species
AACGAACGCUGGCGGCAGGCCUAACACAUGCAAGUCGAGCGAGGACUUCGGUCCUAGCGGCGGACGGGUGAGUAACGCGUGGGAACGUGCCCUUUGCUUCGGAAUAGCCCUGGGAAACUGGGAGUAAUACCGGAUGAGCCCUUUGGGGGAAAGAUUUAUCGGCGAAGGAUCGGCCCGCGUUGGAUUAGGUAGUUGGUGGGGUAAUGGCCUACCAAGCCGACGAUCCAUAGCUGGUUUGAGAGGAUGAUCAGCCACACUGGGACUGAGACACGGCCCAGACUCCUACGGGAGGCAGCAGUGGGGAAUCUUAGACAAUGGGGGAAACCCUGAUCUAGCCAUGCCGCGUGAGCGAUGAAGGCCUUAGGGUUGUAAAGCUCUUUCAGCUGGGAAGAUAAUGACAGUACCAGCAGAAGAAGCCCCGGCUAACUCCGUG